ensembl:rRNA 5S_rRNA 5S ribosomal RNA
GUCUACAGCCAUACCACCCUGAACGCGCCCCACCUCGUCUGAUCUCGGAAGCUAAGCAGGGUCGGGCCUGGUUAGUACUUGGAUGGGAGGACAUCCACAGAGAUUCUGGACUAGUGGGAC